rnacentral:rRNA from 1 species
UACAGAGGUCUCAAGCGUUGUUCGGAUUCAUUGGGCGUAAAGGGUGCGUAGGUGGCAUGGUCAGUCGGAUGUGAAAUCCCGGGGCUCAACCCCGGAACUGCAUUCGAUACUGCCGUGCUGGAGUACUGGAGAGGAGAUUGGAAUUUACGGUGUAGCAGUGAAAUGCGUAGAUAUCGUAAGGAAGACCAGUGGCGAAAGCGGCGCACUGGACCACAACUGACGCUGAGGCGCGAAAGCUAGGGGAGCAAACAGG